AACUCAGUACUCAAGACAGAGCUUCUGAAUGGGGUGUACAGUCAGCCACAGUAUUGAACUACACAGUCCUCUGACUGCAUGUAGGGGUGUCAACAUCCUCGGCGGGAACUGGAGCUAUGAUACUGGACUCUUUGACCCGAAACUCAUACACCUGACAAGAGGCAGUCACAGCCAUGAGGACACUGAGGUUUUGGUCCCGAUUAACCUGGCAAUGGCGCAGAAGUUGUCGUAGUAGGUGCCGAUGAGGACCCGGAACAUGGAGGCCUCAGCUCCGCUCC